rnacentral:rRNA from 1 species
GAUGAACGCUGGCGGCGUGCCUAAUACAUGCAAGUCGAGCGAAUGGAUUAAGAGCUUGCUCUUAUGAAGUUAGCGGCGGACGGGUGAGUAACACGUGGGUGACCUGCCCAUAAGACUGGGAUAACUCCGGGAAACCGGGGCUAAUACCGGAUAACAUUUUGAACCGCAUGGUUCGAAAUUGAAAGGCGGCUUCGGCUGUCACUUAUGGAUGGACCCGCGUCGCAUUAGCUAGUUGGUGAGGUAACGGCUCACCAAGGCAACGAUGCGUAGCCGGCCUGAGGGGGUGAUCGGCCACACUGGGACUGAGACACGGCCCAGACUCCUACGGGAGGCAGCAGUAGGGAAUCUUCCGCAAUGGACGAAAGUCUGACGGAGCAACGCCGCGUGAGUGAUGAAGGCUUUCGGGUCGUAAAACUCUGUUGUUAGGGAAGAACAAGUGCUAGUUGAAUAAGCUGGCACCUUGACGGUACCUAACCAGAAAGCCACGGCUAACUACGUGCCAGCCGCCGCAGUAA